UUUGCGUCCUAACCCCCACCCACCCCCCUUCGCCGGCGGCCGCGCUGCCGUUAUACGAACCCUAGCGGGCGGCGUGACACGCGAGGUCCGGCGGAGGCUUGCUGCGGGAGCCGGGUGGCAAAAGCGCUCGAGAGCCGGGGACGGGGAGGGACCAUCAGCCCGUCGCGGCAUUCGCCGUGAGUCGCGGAGGGAUCCCGCUCCGGCAGGGUGAGGGGGAGGGGGAGCGGGCGGGGGCGUGCGUGCAACCAGAGGACCCAAGUCGGGAGCGGCGAACACGAGCGGCCGACGGCGCGACUCUUUCUCCGAUCGCCCCCCACGAACAGGAAGGCAACAAUCCCACGGACACCAACACGUCAUGGGCAAGCAACAUGGCUGGGCUGGGCUAGAGGGGCGCCCUAUGGACUUCUGUUUCCACGAAUUCAGAUUAGAUUACGAGCAAACCAAGCACCUUGCUUUUAAGAAUGGCAUCCACUCAGACCCCUUCUCCGCCGGCAACCACAUGUGGAGGAUAAGCUGUUCGGGUUAUGACGGGAGCGAUACUAUCUAUAUCUACCUUUGGCCAGAGAGCAAACAUGGUAACGUCAGUGCCAUCGUUGAGGAUCAAGUGCAUUGACUUCUUUGCAAUGGAGAAAAAUUUCAGGAGGGCUGUGUUAACUGAUGGUUUCGUGGAGUUGGUGCAGCAGUUCCCAUCCAUUAUUGCUGAGCUGCGACAGAGGCCGACAUCAUCGCUGCUCAUUUAAGUUGCUGCAGCAUGCUAAUGAUACAUGUGAUGCAAGGUGGAGGUUAUUUCCACAGCUCAGUGCAAAUGUAGCACAUUAUGCAUAAUCAGUAGCCUAAUUGCGUGUUUGUGUCUAUGUUUCUUUGUUCUCUUGGCACUGUACUGUCCUGAAAUUGGGUUAACACUUUUGAGAUGUUUACUUUGCAAUUGGGGAUGAUUGGAUCGGUGAAGUAAGUUAGUGUCUCCAUAUGGACAAUGUGUAUAAUAGUUCAGUGAUUGAUCCA